AUACCGUAGUACGCAGCUAUGGACAGAAAAAAGAAGCAGAGAGGAAAAAAGAGCCGAAGAAAUAAGAACUUAUCGAGGUGUCAAAACGAAAUUGAGCUCUCGUUCGUCGCCCCGGGGUUAAAACAACAAAACGCCACCGCGAUUAGGCGGUUAUGAAAAUUAAAAGUUUCGGAUCAGUCGUUCUCAAAAUGCGGACCUUGUUUCUUAUUAUUCGUGUAAUUUUCUCGUAUCGUAUGUUUCAACUAUAGAGACAGUUUCAACUCUGCCUACGUUAAAGACACACCUACGUUCCAACUUUGGAAGCACUGCAAAACUUCAAUGAAUUUCACUCAAGGGGUACAAUCGUAAGCUUAAAAUUAUGUACAUGGCAAUAUUCCCCCACCCCUCUCAUAGCUUUUGGAGCCAUGGAAAUUUAGGAAGUAUUCCAAGCAUUGCAAUGGUAUCCAACCUUAACAGAAAAUAGCAGUUUGACAUUCGUAUUAUAUGUACCAGGUAAUAAUUGAGAAAAAUGGCCAAAAUUUAUCAAAUUUUUUAAAUUCUUUGAAAUUGGCUAUAAUGGCCGAAAAAUUAGCACCAGAGUAUUUCAAAAUAUUUCCGCAAUUUCUGAAAUGAUAACUUCCGAUGUUUUAGUAAAAUUUAUGCAAAACAUUUGAGAAGGAAACAUUUUUCAAAAUACGAAUUUCCCUGAAAAAAUACGAUUUGCAAAUUUUUGAUUAUCUCAGUACAUAGAACCAUAAUACAGGUUUUGGAUUUUUAUGUCAUCUGCCUAGGUCUACGUAGGACUUGAAAUAUUAUUUUUUGGAACUGGUCAAUUUUUCUCAAAACAGUCUGGGUAAGACUUGAAGCGAAAAAACCACGAUUUUUCAAAAAAUGCUCUUCUUUGAGGAUCCAUAUCUUUCCUCAGGGGACACCUUCUGAUCUAAAAUUUUUCCUCAAUGACUUUCAACUCAAAAUGAAUGUCUCCAAGUCAAAAUCCUCCGACAUUUUUUUUCGUGUUCACCUUAAUAAAUGCGUUAGGGAGAAAAAUAUUUGCUUUUUUUGGGGGCGAUUUUGAAAUGUACCUAUUGUUUAAAACUAAGUACCUAUUAUUGAACUUUUUUUUUGAUUUUUUAAAAUAAUGAGUAUUUGGAUUGUGAGUCGAAAUUUACUCUUCAGGUUUCAAGGAGGUGAAAAGACCAUGGAAAGUCUAGAAAAAAAUCGCAUGAUUUUAAUACAAGAAUGAAUCAUGAAACAGAACCGAAAAGUAUUUUUUCGUAAUACAUUUUCUCCCGAUUUAUAUUGUUUUAAAAUUUUUGAACUUUUUAGUUUGAAGUUUCUGUUGUAGAAAUUGAAGAUCGAUCAAAUAUCGCUGAAGAAUUGAUCAAUGCCGAAAAUAUAACAGUCAAUGUGUCGCGAUAUAUUACAGAAUAUUUUUUUCGCUGGAAUGAUAGUACGAGAGGUAGCUGAAAUGAUACAUACCAAUGUUACCAUCAGGGAAACGAUGUAGGUACCUAGCAAAAACAGCAUCAAUACCAUAGGUACUGAUCAGAUUAUUCAACAGAGCAGACAGUAUCUAGCGCAUUUUUUGGUCUUUGCUGCAAGUUUUUUUUUUUCAAAAGACGAUCAAAUUAUAGGCAUUAGUAGAAAGGAAAUUCAUCUGACUGUUUCAUCUGUUUAGUGCCAUUUUUAUUCAAACGGUUUUUUUGUUUUUUUUUUUUGGUAAAUUUUUUUUCUGAAAGUUUCCAAUUUCCGGAAAGAAAAAAUUCAAAAAAAAAACUAGAAAGAUGAAGAAUUUUUUCAACUGUUCGAAGGUUUUAUUUCGAGGGAAAAUUUCGUGAUGAAUCAAUAAAAGGCCAGAAUAAGAAAUACUAACAACCAUUCUUCCGUUGUAGAUGAUUUACUUAGCCAAAAAGAUGUGUAUAAUUUGGUAUUUUUUUCAUCGUUUUUUUUGACACCCAUAAAGAACAAACGCAAAUGCAGAGGCUCCAAUUAUUUUCAAAUAAAAAUUAUGAAUAACAUUUCGCGUGAUUUGGAAAUUGUCCCAUAGUAAGUAUUCCAUCACAUGUUGAUAUGGAAGCAGUUUUUCAUACAAUCAGUUGUUCCAGCGCAAGCACGACCAGUCACCAAAAUAUAAUUGAAAAAAUGGACUGCAGUGAAUUUUCUGACGUCAAGAGUCACUUGAAUUAUCUACUAUUUUUCUCUUCAAACAAAGUGUUGUACAUACGUAUAAUUUACAAAAUUAUUUAUUAUUAUUUUCAAUAUUUUACAUGAUUACAGUGACGUACAGUUUAUUAAUCAGCGUUGAUAAAAAAAAAAAAAAUGGUCAAGUUUAUGAAAACACAAAUAAUCAUACCUAAUGAAUACUUAGUUCAACAUACGAGUUUAUAUUUGCAAAAUGAUUGAAUGCACAAAGUGUAAGAAUACCUUGAUGGUACAUAUGCUGAAAAAUACAUACUAUCACAUUGAGAUGCUCAAUUAACUUAAACUAUGUACUUACUUGGAGUUUAUAACGAUAAGUACAACAUAUGAACACAUUUGUUUUAAGGUUACAUUUUAUAUACAAUAAAUAUUUUGCACCACCGUA